UAUACACUUAGAGUUCUGGAGCGCAGGAGUCUGAAAUGGGAGCCCAGCUGGGACAAUGUGUGAAUCAACGCAUGAAGGAGUGAGUGAGCAGCUAACCAAAUGAAAGAAUACUCAGAUAUCUGGGGUACAGUUCCCCUCCAGGUUUGCACAGCAUCUGCUGAAGUCUCCACUAGAAACUCAAUGGAAGGUCCCCACCGGAAACUGAAAGUCUCCUAGAGUGGCUUUGAGUUGCGGUUUCACCCUCCCUGCAGAUCCACAGGGGAGGCUGGGGCAGAUGGAAAAUACCAACUUGAUGGUCUGUGGCCACACCAUGCUGCUCCCCAAGGCCCCUCAGAAUUUCACUGCCCAAUAUGGUAGCGCCCAGCCUGAAACGUGGCCAGUGUGAAUUGAGAUGGGCUGGAAAUGCACCAGACUUCCAAGAGCUGGACAAAAACCAUAUACUUUCCAUCCAGCUGUUUGGCAUUGGAUACUGCUGCCUCUGCUUGACUUGAGAAUGUGUGAGAAAAGCUGUGUUUAGACAACUGAAAACCAUGAGCUUGAAAGUAGUGGGGGCACACUCUUGGAGACUCCAGUUGCUCACCAGCUUGGACAAACCACUGGACUCAAAUGAUCAGGUAGAAAUUCAUCACUGGAGAGAACACAGUGGAAUGGCUUCAGCGAAAACUCACUCUGAAGGUCUUCAGGGCAACUUUAAGACUUGCCCCUGGCCGGGCACAGUGGCUUAUGCCUAUAAUCCCAGCACUUUGGGAGGCCGAGGCGGGUGGAUCACCUGAGGUCAGGAGUUCAAGACCAGCCUGGCCAAUAUGGCGAAACCCUGUCUCUACUAAAAAUCCAAAAAA
ensembl:lncRNA LINC01411 long intergenic non-protein coding RNA 1411